GAUGAAGAACGUAGCAAAAUGCGAUAAGUAAUGUGAAUUGCAGAAUUCAGUGAAUCAUCGAAUCUUUGAACGCACAUUGCGCCCGCCAGUAUUCUGGCGGGCAUGCCUGUUCGAGCGUCAUUUCAACCCUCAAGCUCAGCUUGGUGUUGGGACUCGCGGUAACCCGCGUUCCCCAAAUCGAUUGGCGGUCACGUCGAGCUUCCAUAGCGUAGUAAUCAUACACCUCGUUACUGGUAAUCGUCGCGGCCACGCCGUAAAACCCCAACUUCUGAAUGUUGACCUCGGAUCAGGUAGGAAUACCCGCUGAACUUAAGCAUAUCAGUAAGCGGAGGA
rnacentral:misc_RNA from 1 species